GAUGAACGCUGGCGGCGUGCCUAAUACAUGCAAGUCGAGCGAACAGACGAGGAGCUUGCUCCUCUGACGUUAGCGACGGACGGGUGAGUAACACGUGGAUAACCUACCUAUAAGACUGGGAUAACUUCGGGAAACCGGAGCUAAUACCGGAUAAUAUAUUGAACCGCAUGGUUCAAUAGUGAAAGACGGUUUUGCUGUCACUUAUAGAUGGAUCCGCGCCGCAUUAGCUAGUUGGUAAGGGAAAGGCUUACCAAGGCAACGAUGCGUAGCAGACCUGAUAGGGGGCGCGGCCACACUGGAACUGGGACACGGUCCAGACUCCUACGGGAGGCAGCAGUAGGGAAUCUUCCGCAAUGGGCGAAAGCCUGACGGAGCAACGCCGCGGGAGUGAUGAAGGUCUUCGGAUCGUAAAACUCUGUUAUUAGGGAAGAACAAAUGUGUAAGUAACUAUGCACGUCUUGACGGUACCUAAUCAGAAAGCCACGGCUAACUACGUG
rnacentral:rRNA from 1 species